rnacentral:lncRNA from 1 species
CCUAUCUUUCUUUCUUAAAUUGUCUUAUUUAUUGCAGGACAUUAAAUGGCUUUGUUACAGAGCUUUUCUCCAUAAAAAUUCCUAAUUGAGGCAUUCAAGGCCCCACUACAGACCAGCAUGGUGCAGCUGCGCAUGGCUGGUCGGAAUGUUGCCUCAGUGCUAUCACUCCUUGCCCUUUUUUUAUACGUAGCAUAUUUUACUUCAGAACUCUAUUCCCGUCUCAACAGUAUUCAAAAACUUCAACGACUCCAUGAAUAUGAACGAGAGUUGGAGGAGCUGUCACACUUGCUACAUCAAUAUAAAGCUGAUUCAAAAGUUGUGAAGGAAAGCAUCUCUCUCCUGCAGGAGGUUGUCUCAAAAAUGGCAGAUUUUUCUAAGCGUAAGCGAGCUCAAAAACUGCUUGCUUCUUACUCACAUGGAAUAAGAAGGGAAACCAAAGACAUCACAGAUAGUCAUCAUGCUUCAUUUAGUAUUAGAAAUCAUAGUAAAGCAAAUAUCCCACACCACUCUGAUCAAACAGGGGGAAAAUUAAAAUUGGAUGAGAACUUUGUUUAUCAUCCUGAACAAAUACUACAGAGAGAUCAAUCAAUCAGAAAACCAAAGCAAUUAAGGGAUGCAAGGGAAACUAAUUCUGUCGAGGAAAAUUCUGUUAGAUGACUGGCUCAUGUGUGUCUUGUAAUGAUGGUCUUCUUGAAUAGUGUUUGCUCCUUAAAUUCUGGCAUUCUAAUUGAGAAGAUUAUUAAAUUUAUACAACAUAUUUUAGAAUAUCAGGUUAUUAGCAUGUUUGAAGCCAGUCUUCACAUUUUCAUACCUUUAUCCUUUUGUUAAUUUUUGUAGUUAUCUCACUUUUUCAUCAUCAAGCAUGGUGAUUGUAGCUGGCAUGUAUAUAUUAU